GACGAACGCUGGCGGCGUGCUUAACACAUGCAAGUCGAACGGAAAGGCCCUGCUUUUGUGGGGUGCUCGAGUGGCGAACGGGUGAGUAACACGUGAGUAACCUGCCCUUGACUUUGGGAUAACUUCAGGAAACUGGGGCUAAUACCGGAUAGGAGCUCCUGCUGCAUGGUGGGGGUUGGAAAGUUUCGGCGGUUGGGGAUGGACUCGCGGCUUAUCAGCUUGUUGGUGGGGUAGUGGCUUACCAAGGCUUUGACGGGUAGCCGGCCUGAGAGGGUGACCGGCCAAAUUGGGACUGAGAUACGGCCCAGACUCCUACGGGAGGCAGCAGUGGGGAAUAUUGCACAAUGGGCGGAAGCCUGAUGAAGCAACGCCGCGUGCGGGAUGACGGCCUUCGGGUUGUAAACCGCUUUCGCCUGUGACGAAGCGUGAGUGACGGUAAUGGGUAAAGAAGCACCGGCUAACUACGUG
rnacentral:rRNA from 1 species